GACGAACCAUGCAAACGUUAUUCGGAAUUACUGGGCUUAAAGCGUGCGUAGGCGGUUCAGAAAGUUGGGUGUGAAAUGCCUCGGCUUAACCGAGGAAUUGCGCCCAAAACUACUGAGCUUGAGGGAGUUAGAGGUGAGCGGAACUCACGGUGGAGCGGUGAAAUGCGUUGAUAUCGUGAGGAACACCGGAGGCGAAAGCGGCUCACUGGGGCUUCACUGACGCUGAGGCACGAAAGCUAGGGGAGCAAACGGG
rnacentral:rRNA from 1 species